rnacentral:lncRNA from 1 species
GGAGGAGCACACGAUCAGGAAGAAUUUUUUUCCUCUUUCUAAAGUAGCACUGUGCUGUCACUAGCACAUUUUAUUAUUUCUUUCCCUUUUUCAUCAUCUCUGGGGAAAAACAGCUUUAAAGCCAGAAUGAUGCUGGGGACCAGCCAGCUGGUGGUUGAGUUUGAAGUGGUGCUUAUCCAUAGCAGAAGCACAGAAGAAAGAAAAUCUGUAGCAGAAGUGCUACUUCCCAAGCAGUAGCACUCACCAGCAGCACCCAUGAGCAGUCAGCAUCUGUUUGGAAAGAAGCUCUCCAAAGUUUUCUCAGGUGGAACAAUGAGCAGAGAUUAUCCAUGGGGAAUACGGAAGUGACAAGAGCUGCAAGGAGCACCACUUUCAUUGAUCACCACAGAAAAUUCUAUUUUUUAUGAGGUUGUAAUAACCUAUAAACAUGCCAACUGGCUAAUGUAUUGAAAAGUUACAUAUUUGCUGUGUUGAGAUGAAAUUCAGAAUCAUCCUUCCUUUUUUGUGCACUGCACACUGCCAGAGUUAUUCACACUGCAAUUAUUCUGGAGUUAUUUAGUUGAAGAAUAUCCCAAAGCAGGUUCUGUACCAAAUUUUCUAGCACUGCUCAUGUUUGGUCAUUGACAUCUGUAUCAAUUACAUCUGGUCAUGUCUGUGUAAAAAAGCAAAACAAUGUUUCAUUUUUAUUUCAAUAAAUUAUGAAUCUGGGUAUCA